GAUGGAAACACAAACGGUACUGCCAUGUGACUGCACAAAAGUAGCCUAGUUUGUGGGCAAAGAGACAGGCACUAUAAAAGGGCAUGGGCCUAUACCAAAAAGUCUAGGCAGCAGACCCACGAGCCUGCGCCUUUAUUUUUAUUGUUUUCACUUUAUAAAGCGGUGGUAGACAAAAUAUGUAGGCUGUCACGUUGAUGAAAAUAUUAGCAAAGUUAAAAGCUCGAAUCGGCAACCUGAAUCACGCCUUGCCAUGCGUUAGCCAAUAAUUCUUUGUAGUUUGUGAUCGAAUAUCAAAGGACUGAAAGAUCGAGAUGUGGCGGCAUCUGCAUCCAUUUUCUCGCAGGGAGGUAAAAAGGAGCAGCAUGCUAGUAAUUUCCCUACUCAGAGAUGUUUUUGUCUGCACGUACAUAGAGCAGCUAGCUGUGUUUUUUGGUUAGUAGCAAGAGCACCCGGGAUUCCAAUGGUGUCAUAUAGCGACCUGGUGUGGCUAGAAGGAGAAGUUGCAGAGGGCUAGGUCAUCAUCUACAGGCGAGAAUCCAGCCAGCCUAAUCCCAGCUACAAACAAAUCAGUAGUGACGAGGAAGCUUGUCAUGAAAUGACGGGCUAUGAGCAUGACUUGUGAGACUUGAACUUGUAUACUUCUCCGUCUGCAAAUUUUACGCAGAACCGUCAAUGUCUCAGGCUGGCCGGUGAGGAAUCUCAAUUAUAUGAUUAACAAGUUG